rnacentral:rRNA from 1 species
UACGUAGGGUGCGAGCGUUGUCCGGAAUUAUUGGGCGUAAAGAGCUUGUAGGCGGUUUGUCGCGUCUGCUGUGAAAAUCCGGGGCUCAACCCCGGACUUGCAGUGGGUACGGGCAGACUAGAGUGUGGUAGGGGAGACUGGAAUUCCUGGUGUAGCGGUGGAAUGCGCAGAUAUCAGGAGGAACACCGGUGGCGAAGGCGGGUCUCUGGGCCGAUGCUGACGCUGAGGAGCGAAAGCGUGGGGAGCGAACAGG